ensembl:lincRNA
GACCUUCCGAAAGACAAGCAGCAGCUAAAGACCUGGAUGAUCUACAAACUAGGUUAAGAAUGGCUUGGCUAUGCCUUGAAGAAGACUCACAGCCAACAUGGACUAUUUUUUAACAACCUCUGUCAAAAUCCCUCUGGAAAAUGGGUUUAUAAGCAGAUUGAAGAUGAUUUUCCUGUUUUCAAUAUUCCAACCACUCUAUUCAAAAUUCAAGAUGAUUUUCCUAUUCUCACCCAUCUCAACCACCCUAUCCAAAGUUUUAGAGAGAACAGCAUCUUACAGUCAGUACCUGAAG